UGGUUCAGUUGGUAGAGCAUGGUGUUUGCAACGCCAGGAUUGUGGGUUCGAUUCCCAC
rfam:Salmo salar isolate Sally breed double haploid chromosome ssa13, whole genome shotgun sequence.